AUUGAACGCUGGCGGCAUGCUUUACACAUGCAAGUCGAACGGCAGCGCGGGCUUCGGCCUGGCGGCGAGUGGCGAACGGGUGAGUAAUACAUCGGAACGUGCCCAUUGGGGGGGAUAGCCCGGCGAAAAGCGGGUUAAUUCCCCCUACCGCCUGGGGGUGGAAAGGGGGGAUCUUCGGACCUCCCGCUAUUGGAUCGGCCGAUGGCCGAUUAGCUAGUUGGUGGGGUAAAGGCCUACCAAGGCGACGAUCUGUAGCUGGUCUGAGAGGACGACCAGCCACACUGGGACUGAGACACGGCCCAGACUCCUACGGGAGGCAGCAGUGGUGAAUUUUGGACAAUGGGCGAAAGCCUGAUCCAGCAAUGCCGCGUGUGUGAUGAAGGCCUUCGGGUUGUAAAGCACUUUUGGCGGGAACGAAAAGGACUGUGCCAAUACCACGGUUCGAUGACGGUACCCGCAGAAUAAGCACCGGCUAACUACGUG
rnacentral:rRNA from 1 species